GAAAGAAGGGGGUAGAGGAGAGGAGGAGGAUGGUUGUGCCUAGCACACCUCAGGUGGUGGACCUCCUGCCAACCCUCCUCUCUCCCAGCUCGAUGAGUUAAUCUUUGAGAUUUUGGACCCCAAGAAUGUCUCUAUUCAUGGGUGUACCAAUAAGGCAAGCAUCAUUGAAUGCACCUUCCUUAACAAAGGAUAAGCCACUUGUAGAUAUAGCAAUAUUAGGCCAUAAUGUUGUCUCAAAUGUCUGCAAUCCAAAAUACUCAUGUUCCUAGUUAGUUUACAACUUAGUUAUACACAAUGGUAAAUUUGUUAUCUAGUGUUGAGAAAAUUUUUUUUUUUUUUUUAUUCCUUAACCAAACAGAUAAAACAGUAAUAAGAAAAGAAAAAAAACUAAUAAAGUUAACUUAAUUCCUAUCCCUUCUCCCCAUUCAUAAGUAUGGUGUUGUAGUGGGUGAAUGUGUUAAUGAUAACGAGUCUUAGGUAUUUACAGUUUCUUAGACAUGGGCUUCCUUCAAACAGAAUAGGAUUUAAGUCAAACACAUUGUACCCUUAGCUAGAUUUACUGGUUUCUGUUACUUUUGUCCUUAGCAAUAAAACCAAAAACAUUA